rnacentral:rRNA from 1 species
CACAAGCGGUGGAGCACGUGGUUUAAUUCGAUGCAAACCGAAGAACCUUACCUGGGUUUGACAUCCUGCGAAUCUUUUGGAAACAGAAGAGUGCCUUCGGGAACGCAGAGACAGGUGGUGCAUGGCUGUCGUCAGCUCGUGUCGUGAGAUGUUGGGUUAAGUCCCGCAACGAGCGCAACCCACGUCUUUAGUUGCCAGCAUUCAGUUGGGCACUCUAGAGAGACCGCCGGUGAUAAACCGGAGGAAGGUGUGGAUGACGUCAAGUCAUCAUGCCCCUUACAUCCUGGGCUACACACGUACUACAAUGGUUGGUACAACGAGUUGCGAGUCGGUGACGGCGAGCUAAUCUCUUAAAGCCAAUCUCAGUUCGGAUUGUAGGCUGCAACUCGCCUACAUGAAGUCGGAAUCGCUAGUAAUCGCGGAUCAGCACGCCGCGGUGAAUACGUUCCCGGGCCUU